AGGAAUUAAAGAAGAGAAAGAUCGAUGGAGUGAGUCCCUGUCACUUCUGAGGCCGCCAAGCCAUCUUCUCAGAAACUGCAUUCCUUUCUUCUCAAAAUCACCGACCACCCUUUUCAAAACUCUUCACUCUCUUCUUUCCCAUAUCAAUCUCAUGUUUUCCUUUUCAACCACCCUAUAGCUUUUCCCUUUCAAUUCCCCCAAAACCAUGGUUUCCCUCUCAACCAACCCUUUCUUUUACCUCACUUCACAAACUCCUUCCCUUUCUACUACAUUUCAUCUCCAUCACAACAACGCCAAUCCAUUCUAUCACAUUAAACGCAUUAAUAAGGAUCACAGAAAUGUUGUCUGUGCUUGCAUCGCUCCUCCAAGAAACUUCAACGCUCAAGAUUCCUCCGCCAUUCAAUUCAAUGGUUCAUCAAAAUCAGAACAAUUAAGCACAGUGCGGGAUCAUGAGGAUGAUUCCGACGUUCUUAUUGAGUGUAGAGAUGUCUACAAGUCUUUUGGGGAAAAGAAAAUCUUAAAUGGUGUCAGCUUCAAGAUCAGGCAUGGUGAAGCUGUUGGAAUAAUUGGCCCCUCUGGAACUGGCAAAUCUACAAUUUUGAAGAUUAUUGCAGGACUUCUUGCUCCGGACAAGGGAGAAGUUUAUAUCCGAGGUAGAAAGAGAGGUGGUUUGAUAAGCGAUGAUGAGAUAUCUGGUCUUCGGAUUGGAUUAGUGUUCCAAAGUGCGGCACUAUUUGAUUCUUUGACUGUUCGCGAAAAUGUUGGUUUCCUCUUGUACGAACACUCGAGCAUGCCUGAGGAACAGAUAUUGGAGCUUGUCAAGGAAACCUUGGCUGCAGUUGGUUUGAAGGGAGUUGAGGAUCGACUUCCUUCCGAGUUAUCAGGUGGAAUGAAAAAGCGAGUUGCUUUAGCUCGAUCUAUUAUUUAUGACACCACACAGGAUUCAAUAGAACCAGAGGUGCUCUUGUAUGACGAACCAACAGCUGGACUUGAUCCUAUCGCAUCUACCGUUGUUGAGGAUCUGAUUCGCUCUGUGCACAUAAAAGGGCGAGAUGCUCUUGGAAAACCUGGGAAUAUAACAUCUUAUGUGGUAGUUACUCACCAACAUAGUACCAUUAAAAGAGCCAUUGAUAGGUUGUUGUUUUUACACAAGGGAAAGCUUGUUUGGGAAGGAAUGACUCAUGAAUUUACUGUUUCAACAAAUCCAAUUGUUCAGCAGGUUUAAAGGGCGAGAUGCUCUUGGAAAACCUGGGAAUAUAACAUCUUAUGUGGUAGUUACUCACCAACAUAGUACCAUUAAAAGAGCCAUUGAUAGGUUGUUGUUUUUACACAAGGGAAAGCUUGUUUGGGAAGGAAUGACUCAUGAAUUUACUGUUUCAACAAAUCCAAUUGUUCAGCAUUUUGCAUCCGGAAGCCUAGAUGGUCCUAUCAAAUAUUAGAAAAGUAUUGUGGUUGUAAACGAUGUAUUGUUAUUGUUUAUAUCUUGGCUUCUAUUGAGUUGCAAAUAGGAACGGGAAUGGAUGUAGCUUUCAAAUAACAACAUAUGAGAUGAGCAAUAAAUUGGUUCAACAAGGGAUUAAGGGGUUUUGGUAUAGAAUUUGGCAUUCAUGGUUGAAUUGGAAGCUUGAGAAGGACAUGUUACUGGUUGUUGCGGGACUUGACUCAUUGGCUACAGCAUAUUGCAUGCACACCACAAGUACCCUGCGGAAGUGAGUGGAAGAGAUUGAUAGAACCCAUUGUAUUAACAUUAUUUGUUCUAUAUACGGAGUACUUUAUGUGCUAAAUUAAAUUACAUGCUAUUUUUUGUAACACAGUUCAAUAUAAUCAAUAAGUCUGCUUCAUGGUUUUUGAUA